UUAGCCCUAAACCCCAGCACCUAUUAACCAAACUGUUCGCCAGAGAACUACUAGCAACAGCUAAAAACUCAAAGGACUUGGCGGUGCUUCACACCCACCUAGAGGAGCCUGUCCCAUAAUCGAUAAACCCCGAUAAACCUCACCACCAUUUGCCUACUCAGUCUAUAUACCGCCAUCUUCAGCAAACCCUUAAAAGGAAGCAAAGUAAGCACAAUAAUGCCCAUAAAAAAGUUAGGUCAAGGUGUAGCUAAUAUGGUGGUCUAAGAUGGGCUACAUUCUUUACACAAAAGCAUAUACGAAUGUUACUAUGAAACUAUUAACUGAAGGAGGAUUUAGCAGUAAAUUAAGAAUAGAGAGCUUAAUUGAAUUCAGGCCAUGAAGCACGC
rnacentral:rRNA from 1 species